AUUGAACGCUGGCGGCAGGCCUAACACAUGCAAGUCGAGCGAGCGGCGGACGGGUGAGUAAUGUAUGGGGACUGCCCGAUAGAGGGGGAUAACUCCUGGAAACGGUGGCUAAUACCGCAUACUAUCGGAUAACCCAAGUGGGCUUAGCUAGUAGGUAAGGUAAUGGCUUACCUCGGCGACGAUACCUAGCUGGUCUGAGCGGAUGAUCAGCCAAACUGCGAAUGGGACACGGCCCAGACUCAUACGGAGGCAGGAGUGGGGAAUAGUGCACAAUGGGCGAAAGCCUGAUGCAGCCAGGCCGCGUGUAUGAAGAAGGCCCUAGGGUUGUAAAGUACUUUCAGUCGGGAGGCGGUACCGACAGAAGAAGCACCGGCUAACUCCGUGCCAGCAGCCGCGGUAAUAC
rnacentral:rRNA from 1 species